AUUGAACGCUGGCGGCAGGCCUAACACAUGCAAGUCGAGCGGAUGAAGGGAGCUUGCUCCUGGAUUCAGCGGCGGACGGGUGAGUAAUGCCUAGGAAUCUGCCUGGUAGUGGGGGAUAACGUCCGGAAACGGGCGCUAAUACCGCAUACGUCCUGAGGGAGAAAGUGGGGGAUCUUCGGACCUCACGCUAUCAGAUGAGCCUAGGUCGGAUUAGCUAGUUGGUGGGGUAAAGGCCUACCAAGGCGACGAUCCGUAACUGGUCUGAGAGGAUGAUCAGUCACACUGGAACUGAGACACGGUCCAGACUCCUACGGGAGGCAGCAGUGGGGAAUAUUGGGCAAUGGGCGAAAGCCUGAUCCAGCAAUGCCGCGUGUAUGAAGAAGGUCUUCGGAUUGUAAAGCACUUUAAGUUGGGAGGAAGGGAAGUAAGUUAAUACCUUGCUGUUUUGACGUUACCAACAGAAUAAGCACCGGCUAACUUCGUG
rnacentral:rRNA from 1 species